AACGUAGGUGGCGAGCGUUAUCCGGAUUUACUGGGCGUAAAGGGUGUGCAGGCGGGCUGUUAAGUGGUGCAUGAAAUCUCCGCGCUUAACGUGGAGAGGCUGUGCCAGACUGGCAGUCUAGAGUACGAGAGAGGGUUGUGGAAUUCCGGGUGUAGUGGUGAAAUGCGUAGAGAUCCGGAGGAACACCAGAGGCGAAGGCGGCAACCUGGCUCGUUACUGACGCUCAUACACAACAGCAUGGGGAGCGAACGGG
rnacentral:rRNA from 1 species